UACGUAGGGUGCGAGCGUUGUCCGGAAUUAUUGGGCGUAAAGAGUAUGUAGGCGGCCAGGUAGGUCUGCUGUGAAAACUCGAGGCUUAACCUCGAGCUGUCGGCGGAAACCAUCUGGCUAGAGUCCGGAAGAGGAGAAUGGAAUUCCCGGUGUAGCGGUGAAAUGCGCAGAUAUCGGGAAGAACACCCGUGGCGAAGGCGGUUCUCUGGGACGGUACUGACGCUGAGACGCGAAAGCGUGGGGAGCGAACAGG
rnacentral:rRNA from 1 species